GACGAACGCUGGCGGCGUGCUUAACACAUGCAAGUCGAACGGAAAGGCCCUGCUUGUGUGGGGUGCUCGAGUGGCGAACGGGUGAGUAACACGUGAGUAACCUGCCCUUGACUUUGGGAUAACUUCAGGAAACUGGGGCUAAUACCGGAUAGGAUCUCCUGCUGCAUGGUGGGGGUGGGAAAGUUUCGGCGGUUGGGGAUGGACUCGCGGCUUAUCAGCUUGUUGGUGGGGUAGUGGCUUACCAAGGCUUUGACGGGUAGCCGGCCUGAGAGGGUGACCGGCCACAUUGGGACUGAGAUACGGCCCAGACUCCUACGGGAGGCAGCAGUGGGGAAUAUUGCACAAUGGGCGGAAGCCUGAUGCAGAAACGCCGCGUGCGGGAUGACGGCCUUCGGGUUGUAAACCGCUUUCGCCUGUGACGAAGCGUGAGUGACGGUAAUGGGUAAAGAAGCACCGGCUAACUACGUG
rnacentral:rRNA from 1 species